CAGCAGCCGCGGUAAUACGAAGGGUGCAAGCGUUACUCGGAAUUACUGGGCGUAAAGCGUGCGUAGGUGGUGGUUUAAGUCCGUCGUGAAAGCCCUGGGCUCAACCUGGGAAUUGCAGUGGAUACUGGGUCACUAGAGUGUGGUAGAGGAUAGUGGAAUUUCCGGUGUAGCAGUGAAAUGCGUAGAGAUCGGAAGGAACAUCUGUGGCGAAGGCGACUAUCUGGGCCAACACUGACACUGAGGCACGAAAGCGUGGGGAGCAAACAGGAUUAGAUACCCCUGUAGUCCCUGUCUCUUAUAA
rnacentral:rRNA from 1 species